CAUCUGUCCUCACCAGUGAAGGCACUCACUCACUUGUAAAGAGCAUGUGAAUGCAGAUAACACACCUAAGUGUCCUGUCCCUGCAGCACGCCUCUUUCGGAGCUUUCAAAUAAAGCUGCCUUCAAACUUUUACAGGGAAAUGUGGAAUUCCAAAGGAAGUAGAAAGUCUUCGAUUUUUUCUUCAAAAUGAAAUAGAACUUCAUAGUUUACUGCUAUCUUUUUGUCUAGUACUGCUCCAGUGUGUUAUCAUGUUGACUUCUGCAUAUCCAUUGCCAUUGUCAGCUCUGAUGUCACCAAGAACAUAAGUCCUUCUUUUGGGAAAUGGGCUUUCUUUGUUAACUUGCUUUCUCCCUUUUGGCUUGGCUGUGAAAUGGUAUCAGAAAAUCAUACACACAAGUAAGUUCUUUUAAAUAUUCAUUUGUUGCCUGAAGUAGGGAGUUCAGUGGCAUUGCUGCUGGAAUGGAAGGGGCAGAUAGCUGUGGAAACAUACCGUGACUAUUUAAAGCAGCUAGUGAAAUGUGAAUGUUUACCAGGUUGAACCAUUUUACAGUGCUUUAGUUUCUCCAGUCUGGCCCCAAAGGCAACCAGAAAUAGAGUAAAAUAUAAAAUUAUAAAUGUAUUCUCUGGGUAAGUAUAAAGAAUAAAAUUGGCACGAUGAAAUCUGGCACCUCCAAGGAAUAUAUUCUAUCCCUUGUCUAAUUCUAAUGAUUUGUAUUACGCAAAGUUCCUUAUUUUGGGGAUUGCACAACUUUUGUCGUGUUGCAUGCAAUUACCUUUUACUGCCUAGACAAACUGUCAGAGCAUUAACCUGAGAUUUUCCAUGUAAUGUUCCAGAUGCACGUCCACCUUGAAAGGCCCAUAAUUCAGCUUAUUUAUAGCUGAAUAAAAAACAAUGCCUCCAAAUAGAAGUCAAAGUUCAGAGGGAUUGGCUAGUACAGCAUUUUAAAGCCUAGUUCUCAGCAGGUUAUAGGGCUGGAGAGAGGCCAUAAUAGGAUAUUGAACUGUUUUUCUUUUUUAAACUUGGCAAUAAAUUCCUUGACAUCCCGUUAUAAUUUUAUGAGCUGGUUGAGAUUGUCAUAUUCCAUUAGCUCCUGACAAGCCUCCACGCAGGAAGAAGCACAAGCCUGUAUCUGGUGGUCACCUACGUGAAAUGCUGGAGAUAAGCAGGUUUCCCCACUGCAGUGUCUAGCUGACUGCAGAUACAAAAAUCACUUCACUCAGCACCGCGCAGGAACCACCCUUGGCAAGGCCAUGGUAGCUGUCAAGCAGCACAUCAGGAACUGCUGCUCCAGUUCAACACAUCAUGAGGGCAUUUGCGCAGCAGGAGGAGCCAGUUAACUGAUCUGGAACUAGCAUCAAAGGCUGGAACGUGGCAGCCAUUCUGCGCUAACAACUCCACACAGCCGUUUGUUUUUCUGAAGAGGAGAUGUGAAGGAUAAUUUGUCCAAUUGAAACUGCAAGGUGAGUCACCAAGGUGAUGACAAGGAUUAAGUUCCUGCAGCCUGCUCUCAUGACUGCAGAAAACAUUUCAGCACGGCUGCAAGCGACAACUUCACAGAGAGCUGGAACACGUCACACGUCUGGAAAAGUGUCCAUUAGGAAUGCCCUUUGAGCACAGCAAGCGGCUUUUUCUCUCUGACUACACAGAUGAGACUUUAAAGGCUUUUGUCUGCAGCUUUGAAUGUUUUCAAAUGCCUGGCCAGGAUUGGAAGCUCUCAUCGAUGACUUUGAAAGCAGGCUGGUGUUCACUAUUUGUUUAGUGUUCCUUUCUAUUCCUCCAAAGUGCAAAGGAGGAGUUCAUUGCUUAAAUACUUGUGGUCUUUCAGUAGGAGUGUGAUACCCAGCUCCUUCUGGGUGACUUGAAAAACCUUCACAGCCCUUCACAGUCCUUCUGAAACUUGCUGUGCUGAGUUGAAAGCAAUUUGUCUCAUUUCUCAUCCUGAAUUCUCGUGUGGCACAGCUACCCCUGCACUGGCAAACAGCUCCUUACUGCAUGCUUUAAGAGCCUGUCUGGUGGCAGGAAUAUGCUGACAAAGGAAGAACAUCUCAGAGUUUCAGAUUGGGUCACAAAUUAAACUUCUGCUUGUUUCCCCAAAUUGCAGCUGUGACCUCGAUAUUUUGCAGCUGCUACACUGUUAACCAGAGCUUCAUAGUAUUGCUAAUAAAAGAUAUGAAAGAAAUAAUUCUGAAGUGGUAGAUCUGACUUAUCUUCUUGUUCUAGGAGCUCUAAAGUGGAUUUCAAUCA